rnacentral:lncRNA from 1 species
UUUCUUCUUUCCUAAACCCUAAAACUUACUUUCCUCUCACCCACUCCCUUACAGUCAUCUCUACUCUCCUCCCUGUGCACACCACGCAUAGCACGACCAACAGCGAUUGAGAUCCGACUGCCGGAGAUCGAGAUCCGGCUGCCGGAUUCCUCUCUCUCCCUCCUCAAUAUCUCUAUCUUUCUCUCUUUUCUUUCUUGUGGACCCGAGCUGUAGGGA